rnacentral:misc_RNA from 1 species
AACUUUUGGCAACGGAUCUCUUGGUUCUCGCAUCGAUGAAGAACGCAGCGAAACGCGAUAGGUAAUGUGAAUUGCAGAAUUCCGUGAAUCAUCGAAUCUUUGAACGCACAUUGCGCCUGCUGGUAUUCCGGUAGGCAUGCCUGUUUGAGCGUCAGCAAGAACCUCUCAGUAGUACUUUAUUGUAAUGCUGGUUAUGGGUGCAGAGGAAUGGUGUUUAUUCACCGCUCUCACUUUAAACUUGCUGCACGACCGCAAGCUAAUGCUAGGUUAAUGGAGUGGUAUUUAUAAAAUGUCAUCAACUGAACAAUAGCUUAUGGCGUUAAAAUUGAUGUCGCUUAACCGCGACUGAAGUUUGACCUCAAAUCAGACAAGGAUACCCGCUGAACUUAAGCAUAUCAAUAAGCGGAGGCU